GAAAUGCGAUAAGUAAUGUGAAUUGCAGAAUUCAGUGAAUCAUCAAAUCUUUGAACGCACAUUGCGCCCGCCAGCACUCUGGCGGGCAUGCCUGUUCGAGCGUCAUUUCAACCCUCAGAACCCCUUGCGGGAUCUGGCGUUGGGGAUUGGCAUCCAGCCAGCCCCGAAAUCUAGUGGCGGUCCCUCCGCGACCCCCCCUGUGCAGUAGCGAUACCUCGCAGCGGGACAGCGGUCUGACCACGCCGUAAAACCCCCAACUUCUCAAGGUUGACCUCGAAUCAGGUAGGAAUACCCGCUGAACUUAAGC
rnacentral:misc_RNA from 1 species